UAGAAGGUACUUAAAAGUUAUUCCUGUCCUCAGAAAAAUGCAGCGGCUUUAAUGGAUGUUUCAGAAUUUUUCUUGAACCCAGGACUUAGCUAUUAGCUAAAAAAAAAUUUCAAGCUGCUUUCAGGAGUUUUUAUAGUUCAACCCCAUAGCAAGGAUUCCUGCCAAGGACGUGUUUUCUUUAGGCUUCCCCUUGCAAAUAUCCAGUCUGUGCAACAACAACAGAAAGACCUAAUUAUUUCCUUGUGGGAUCAAAACUGAAGAAAUGCAGCCUACAGACCAGCAGACAGCAGGUCGACCUAACUCGAGAGCUGGAUCUCUAAAUGUAAACCUGAAUGUAAACCAGAAUGCUUUUUGAGUUUGGAUACGAAAUACUUUGAUUAACUGACAUUGGUGGCCUGAUGAAGAACUGGGUUUGAAACGAGCCGAAAGGAAUAGACCGGUAUAGCUCGUCGCCACCUUGGAGCUCAUAAAUCUUGGACGCCACCGAUUAACUUCACAACUGGCACCGUUUGCAGCCUGUGAUAAAGAGGUUCCGUUAACAUAUGGGACUUGACUCUCUCAGUCUAUUGGAACAAGUUUGCAGCCACAUUGAAUUGAAUGGAAUCGAAACUGUUGUGUUUAUAUUGAUUGUAUAAUUUACUUGUGCUGCAAUAAUAAUAAUAGCUGUGUUGGCACA